rnacentral:miRNA from 1 species
UAAUGCCCCUUGAAAACCCACA